CCGCACAAGCGAGGAGCAUGUGGUUUAAUUCGAUGAUACGCGAGGAACCUUACCUGGGCUCGAACGUAAGAUGACUGUAGGUGAAAGCUUACAUCUCUUCGGAGCAUUUUACGAGGUGCUGCAUGGUUGUCGUCAGCUCGUGCCGUGAGGUGUCGGGUUAAGUCCCAUAACGAGCGCAACCCCUACCUUUAGUUGCCAUCAGGUUAAGCUGGGGACUCUAAAGGAACUGCCUACGCAAGUAGUGAGGAAGGCGGGGAUGACGUCAAAUCAGCACGGCCCUUACGUCCAGGGCUACACACGUGCUACAAUGGCCGAUACAGAGGGCAGCUACCUGGUGACAGGAUGCAAAUCUCCAAAGUCGGUCUCAGUUCGGAUCGGAGUCUGCAACCCGGCUCCGUGAAGUUGGAUUCGCUAGUAAUCGCGCAUCAGCCAUGGCGCGGUGAAUACGUUCCCGGGCCUU
rnacentral:rRNA from 1 species